GAGGAAAAGAAACCAACAGGGAUUGCCCUAGUAACGGCGAGUGAAGCGGCAACAGCUCAAAUUUGAAAUCUGGCGUCUUUGGCGUCCGAGUUGUAAUUUGCAGAGGGCGCUUUGGCAUUGGCAGCGGUCCAAGUUCCUUGGAACAGGACGUCACAGAGGGUGAGAAUCCCGUACGUGGUCGCUAGCCUUUACCGUGUAAAGCCCCUUCGACGAGUCGAGUUGUUUGGGAAUGCAGCUCUAAAUGGGAGGUAAAUUUCUUCUAAAGCUAAAUACUGGCCAGAGACCGAUAGCGCACAAGUAGAGUGAUCGAAAGAUGAAAAGCACUUUGGAAAGAGAGUUAAAAAGCACGUGAAAUUGUUGAAAGGGAAGCGCUUGCAGCCAGACUUGCCUGUAGUUGCUCAUCCGGGUUUCUACCCGGUGCACUCUUCUACGGGCAGGCCAGCAUCAGUUUGGGCGGUUGGAUAAAGGUCUCUGUCAUGUACCUCCCUUCGGGGAGAUCUUAUAGGGGAGACGACAUGCAACCAGCCUGGACUGAGGUCCGCGCAUCUGCUAGGAUGCUGGCGUAAUGGCUGUAAGCGGCCCGUCUUGAAACACGGACCAAGGAGUCUAACAUCUAUGCGAGUGUUUGGGUGUCAAGCCCGAGCGCGUAAUGAAAGUGAACGGAGGUGGGAACCUUUCGGGGUGCACCAUCGACCGAUCCUGAUGUCUUCGGAUGGAUUUGAGUAAGAGCAUAGCUGUUGGGACCCGAAAGAUGGUGAACUAUGCUUGAAUAGGGUGAAGCCAGAGGAAACUCUGGUGGAGGCUCGCAGCGGUUCUGACGUGCAAAUCGAUCGUCAAAUUUGGGCAUAGGGGCGAAAGACUAAUCGAACUAUCUA
rnacentral:rRNA from 1 species